GAUGAACGCUAGCGGCAGGCUUAAUACAUGCAAGUCGAACGGCAGCACAGCAGAGCUUGCUCUGUGGGUGGCGAGUGGCGGACGGGUGAGGAAUACAUGGGAAUCUGCCCAGUCGUGGGGGAUAACGUAUGGAAACGUACGCUAAUACCGCAUGCGCCCUACGGGGGAAAGCCGGGGACCGCAAGGCUUGGCGCGAUUGGAUGAGCCCAUGUUCGAUUAGCUAGUUGGCGGGGUAAAGGCCCACCAAGGCGACGAUCGAUAGCUGGUCUGAGAGGAUGAUCAGCCACACUGGAACUGAGACACGGUCCAGACUCCUACGGGAGGCAGCAGUAGGGAAUAUUGGACAAUGGGGGCAACCCUGAUCCAGCCAUGCCGCGUGAGUGAAGAAGGCCCUCGGGUUGUAAAGCUCUUUUGUCCGGAAAGAAAAGCAAUCGGUUAAUACCGGUUGUUCUGACGGUACCGGAAGAAUAAGCACCGGCUAACUUCGUGCC
rnacentral:rRNA from 1 species